UACGUAGGGCGCAAGCGUUGUCCGGAAUUAUUGGGCGUAAAGAGCUCGUAGGCGGCGUGUCGCGUCGGUUGUGAAAGCCCGGGGCUUAACUCCGGGUCUGCAGUCGAUACGGGCAUGCUUGAAUUCGGUAGGGGAGAUCGGAAUUCCUGGUGUAGCGGUGAAAUGCGCAGAUAUCAGGAGGAACACCGGUGGCGAAGGCGGAUCUCUGGGCCGAUACUGACGCUGAGGAGCGAAAGCGUGGGGAGCGAACAGG
rnacentral:rRNA from 1 species